rnacentral:lncRNA from 1 species
UUGCCUUUCUCGAUGACUUUUUUGACAAUGAUGUUAAAUAACCCCCUGCGUGAAGUCGCGAACCUCUAGAAGUCUUAAAAAAUCUUAAUGGGAACAUAAUCAAGGAUAAAUAGAGGAGAUGCAAACUCUGAUCCACCCAAUCCAUCUCUGUGAAAGCAAAUUCUUUUUUAAAAAGCGAACAAAAAAGAAGAAUCUGUCUAUGAAAUGGGUGAGGUGAACAUUAGUAUUGGCAUGGUGUACUUAUAUUUGGUCUAAAAUUUGCAGCUCCAAGGUCAUUCUUUUCUCUGUCAUCAUUUCUAAUCAAGGGAAGCGAGUCAGAUGACCAUCUCCGGAAGAAAUUUCACAGUUCUAGCAUUUGGGAUCUUCGUUCAUUAUGCCGGUGUAAAGGAUCUUCAGAUCUUCGUUCAUCAGGCCAGUGUAAAGGAUCUGAAAUCUGAAAGGUUUCUUCCAUUUUAUUCUCGUCGAUCUUUACGAACUGUAAUUAUAAGAUAAAGGAUUGGGAAUGUAACGAAUAGAUUUUUCGAGUUGUGAUUCUGGGGACAUAAUCCUUUUAAGGGGGGAAGGAUGUAACCAUCGAGAAAUUUGUAAUUUAAUUUAAAU